ensembl:misc_RNA 7SK 7SK RNA
GGACUGCAGCAUCUGUCACCCGGCUGAUCACUGGGGUUGAUUGGGCUGACCUGUUCGCUAGGCAAGUGUCCUCUUCCUCCCUCGCCGCUCCAUGUGCUACCUUCCCAAAGCUGCAGGCUCGCUCGAAGAGGACCAUCAUCCCGGAUAGAACAGGACCGGUCUUUGGUCAAGGCUACACAAGUAGCUCUGCUCCCCGACUAGAACCUCCAAACAAAUUCUCAAGGUCCUGCAAUUUUUUUUAUAAAAUUAAAACAUUUGGGGAUACACAAGGCAUAAUUUGACAUUUGUUUAAAUGUUCAAGGUAUUAUAAAAUUUGUU